rnacentral:rRNA from 12 species
CGGUGCCCCUCGAACCCACGGCCCGUCCCUUCUCCCCAGUGGCGUCGGUGGCCUCGGCUCCGGUCUCGGCGCCAUGCCCAUUCCCGUCGGAGUUCCGCAAGGUCCCGGGGUCGGAAUCGCCACCACCGCCACGGCUGCCGUGGCGG